rnacentral:rRNA from 1 species
GACGAACGCUGGCGGCGUGCUUAACACAUGCAAGUCGAACGGAAAGGCCCUGCUUUUGUGGGGUGCUCGAGUGGCGAACGGGUGAGUAACACGUGAGUAACCUGCCCUUGACUUUGGGAUAACUUCAGGAAACUGGGGCUAAUACCGGAUAGGAGCUCCUGCUGCAUGGUGGGGGUUGGAAAGUUUCGGCGGUUGGGGAUGGACUCGCGGCUCAUCAGCUUGUUGGUGGGGUAGUGGCUUACCAAGGCUUUGACGGGUAGCUGGCCUGAGAGGGUGACCGGCCACAUUGGGACUGGGAUACGGCCCAGAGUCCUACGGGAGGCAGCAGUGGGGAAUAUUGCACAAUAGGCGGAAGCCUGAUGCAGCAUCGCCGCGUGCGGGAUGACGGCCUUCGGUUUGUAAACCGCUUUCGCCUGUGACGAAGCGUGAGUGACGGUAAUGGGUAAAGAAGCACCGGCUAACUACGUG